rnacentral:rRNA from 1 species
GUUGGGUAGGGGAGCGUUCUGUAAGCCUGUGAAGGUGGCCUGUGAGGGUUGCUGGAGGUAUCAGAAGUGCGAAUGCUGACAUAAGUAACGAUAAAGCGGGUGAAAAGCCCGCUCGCCGGAAGACCAAGGGUUCCUGUCCAACGUUAAUCGGGGCAGGGUGAGUCGACCCCUAAGGCGAGGCCGAAAGGCGUAGUCGAUGGGAAACGGGUUAAUAUUCCCGUACUUGGUGUUACUGCGAAGGGGGGACGGAGAAGGCUAUGUUGGCCGGGCGACGGUUGUCCCGGUUUAAGCGUGUAGGUGUGUGUUCCAGGUAAAUCCGGUUCACUUUAACACUGAGGCGUGAUGACGAGGCACUACGGUGCUGAAGCAACAAAUGCCCUGCUUCCAGGAAAAGCCUCUAAGCAUCAGGUAACAUCAAAUCGUACCCCAAACCGACACAGGUGGUCAGGUAGAGAAUACCAAGGCGCUUGAGAGAACUCGGGUGAAGGAACUAGGCAAAAUGGUGCCGUAACUUCGGGAGAAGGCACGCUGACAYGUAGGUGAAGUGAUUUACUCAYGGAGCUGAAGUCAGUCGAAGAUACCAGCUGGCUGCAACUGUUUAUUAAAAACACAGCACUGUGCAAACACGAAAGUGGACGUAUACGGUGUGACGCCUGCCCGGUGCCGGAAGGUUAAUUGAUGGGGUCAGCGCAAGCGAAGCUCCUGAUCGAAGCCCCGGUAAACGGCGGCCGUAACUAUAACGGUCCUAAGGUAGCGAAAUUCCUUGUCGGGUAAGUUCCGACCUGCACGAAUGGCGUAAUGAUGGCCAGGCUGUCUCCACCCGAGACUCAGUGAAAUUGAACUCGCUGUGAAGAUGCAGUGUACCCGCGGCAAGACGGAAAGACCCCGUGAACCUUUACUAUAGCUUGACACUGAACAUUGAGCCUUGAUGUGUAGGAUAGGUGGGAGGCUUUGAAGUGUGGACGCCAGUCUGCAUGGAGCCGACCUUGAAAUACCACCCUUUAAUGUUUGAUGUUCUAACGUGGACCCGURAUCCGGGUUGCGGACAGUGUCUGGUGGGUAGUUUGACUGGGGCGGUCUCCUCCUAAAGAGUAACGGAGGAGCACGAAGGUUGGCUAAUCCUGGUCGGACAUCAGGAGGUUAGUGCAAUGGCAUAAGCCAGCUUGACUGCGAGCGUGACGGCGCGAGCAGGUGCGAAAGCAGGUCAUAGUGAUCCGGUGGUUCUGAAUGGAAGGGCCAUCGCUCAACGGAUAAAAGGUACUCCGGGGAUAACAGGCUGAUACCGCCCAAGAGUUCAUAUCGACGGCGGUGUUUGGCACCUCGAUGUCGGCUCAUCACAUCCUGGGGCUGAAGUAGGUCCCAAGGGUAUGGCUGUUCGCCAUUUAAAGUGGUACGCGAGCUGGGUUUAGAACGUCGUGAGACAGUUCGGUCCCUAUCUGCCGUGGGCGCUGGAGAACUGAGGGGGGCUGCUCCUAGUACGAGAGGACCGGAGUGGACGCAUCACUGGUGUUCGGGUUGUCAUGCCAAUGGCACUGCCCGGUAGCUAAAUGCGGAAGAGAUAAGUGCUGAAAGCAUCUAAGCACGAAACUUGCCCCGAGAUGAGUUCUCCCUGAGACUU